AGCAGCCGCGGUAAUUCCAGCUCCAAUAGUGUAUAUUAAAGUUGUUGCAGUUAGAAAGCUCGUAGUUGAAUUUCGGGAUCAAGGAAUCGGUCAUGCCUCGGUAUGUACUGGUUUUAUUGGUUCUCACCUUCUAAAGAACCAUGAUGUCAUUCAUUUGAUGUUAUGGGGAAUUAGGACUGUUACCUUGAAAAAAUUAGAGUGUUUAAAGCAGGCUCACGCUUGAAUACAUUAGCAUGGAAUAACGAAAUAGGACGUUUGAUUUUAUUUUGUUGGUUUCUAGGAUCGACGUAAUGAUUAAUAGGGAUAGUUGGGGGCAUUAGUAUUCAAUUGUCAGAGGUGAAAUUCUUGGAUUUAUUGAAGACUAACUUCUGCGAAAGCAUUUGCCAAGGAUGUUUUCAUUAAUCAAGAACGAAAGUUAGGGGAUCGAAGACGAUCAGAUACCGUCGUAGUCUUAACCAUAAGCUAUGCCGACUAGGGAUCGGACGAUGUAAUUUUUUAAUGACUCGUUCGGCGCCUUACG
rnacentral:rRNA from 1 species